rnacentral:rRNA from 1 species
AGCGAACGCUGGCGGCAGGCCUAACACAUGCAAGUCGAACGGAUCCUUCGGGAUUAGUGGCGGACGGGUGAGUAACACGUGGGAACGUGCCCUUUGGUUCGGAACAACUCAGGGAAACUUGAGCUAAUACCGGAUGUGCCCUUCGGGGGCAAGAUUUAUCGCCAUUGGAGCGGCCCGCGUCUGAUUAGCUAGUUGGUGAGGUAAAGGCUCACCAAGGCGACGAUCAGUAGCUGGUCUGAGAGGAUGAUCAGCCACAUUGGGACUGAGACACGGCCCAAACUCCUACGGGAGGCAGCAGUGGGGAAUCUUGCGCAAUGGGCGAAAGCCUGACGCAGCCAUGCCGCGUGAAUGAUGAAGGUCUUAGGAUUGUAAAAUUCUUUCACCGGGGACGAUAAUGACGGUACCCGGAGAAGGAGCCCCGGCUAACUUCGUGCCAGCCGCCGCGGUAAUAC